UGGUCAGUAGGUUGGUCGUGCCACCGGUACGUACUGGUCUCACUGAUUCCUCCUUCCUGAAUAACCGUAAUGCCAUUAAUUUGGUGUUGCGGGGAAACAGGACUGUUACUUUGAAGAAAUUAGAGUGUUUAAAGCAAGCUAACGCUUGAAUACAUUAGCAUGGAAUAAUGAAAUAGGACGAUCGAUCCUAUUUUGUUGGUUUCUAGGAUUGACGUA
rnacentral:rRNA from 1 species